rnacentral:rRNA from 1 species
GACGAACGCUGGCGGCGUGCUUAACACAUGCAAGUCGAACGGAAAGGCCCUGCUUUUGUGGGGUGCUCGAGUGGCGAACGGGUGAGUAACACGUGAGUAACCUGCCCUUGACUUUGGGAUAACUUCAGGAAACUGGGGCUAAUACCGGAUAGGAGCUCCUGCUGCAUGGUGGGGGUUGGAAAGUUUCGGCGGUUGGGGAUGGACUCGCGGCUUAUCAGCUUGUUGGUGGGGUAGUGGCUGACCAAGGCUUUGACGGGUAGCCGGCCUGAGAGGGUGACCGGCCACAUUGGGACUGAGAUACGGCCCAGACUCCUACGGGAGGCAGCAGUGGGGAAUAUUGCACAAUGGGCGGAAGCCUGAUGCAGCAACGCCGCGUGCGGGAUGACGGCCUUCGGGUUGUAAACCGCUUUCGCCUGUGACGAAGAGUGAGUGACGGUAAUGGGUAAAGAAGCACCGGCUAACUACGUG